CGCCUCUUGAACUUUAUAAGAGGUCCAGCCUGCCCAGUGACUCUGUUCAACGGCCGCGGUAUCCUAACCGUGCGAAGGUAGCGUAAUCACUUGUUCUUUAAAUGCGGACUAGUAUGAAUGGCACUACGAGGGUUAUACUGUCUCCUUUUUCUAAUCAGUGAAACUAAUUUUCCCGUGAAGAAGCGAGGAUAUAACUAUAAGACGAGAAGACCCUAUGGAGCUUUAAACAACCCAGCAAUUACUUCUAAAAUUGUAAAUUUCAGAAUAUUCAUUUCUUAAGUAAUGUGUCUGCAAGUUUUUGGUUGGGGUGACCAUGGAGAAUAACAUAACCUCCAUAUUGAAUGAAUUCCCUUCUAAGCUGAAAAUUACCAAUUGAAGCAUCAACAUACUGACAUCUAUUGACCCAAUAUAUUUGAUCAACGAACCAAGUUACCCUAGGGAUAACAGCGCAAUCUACUUCAAGAGCCCCUAUCGACAAGUGGGUUUACGACCUCGAUGUUGGAUCAGGGUAUCCCAGUGGCGCAGCCGCUACUAAAGGUUCGUUUGUUCAACGAUUAAAACCCUACG
rnacentral:rRNA from 1 species